AUCACGCGGUCGCAAUCUGGCCGUCUGCGUGUGGGAUUGCAAUGUACGGUGGCGUCGCACCCCGUUAUUUUCGGCCAUAGAUAAUGAUUGGUGGUCAUUUCUAUUUCUUGCCGGGCCCGAUUACAGCAAAUUCCAAUAUUUUCUGCCGGAGCUCUGCUGAUUAAGUAAAUUCCGGCGAGGAUAGUACGGAAAUGGAUUAGCUGGAAGCUUUCCUUUGCAAUCCCAAGUUUCAGAUCGUUGUGUGGGUUGUUUGUGAUUGAUUUCCGUGCAACUGAUUUUAAUUUUUGGUAUCUAUAUUGGGAACGAGAAGAAUAUUGUGCUCGAGUAUGAAGAGAAAUUAAGUGCAUAGCUGAAGAACGAUGCGAAAUCGAUGACUAUUGUCCUUGCACAAAGCUGAGGCGCACUAUUCGAAUUUGAUCGCGGAGUUGUGUUCUUUGUUGAAUUUCGUCGAUUGAUGUUUUUUCUGUCAUGUUAGAUGCUUACAACUAUUAUUUUUCUUAGUUGAGAACUAUUUCGGAGUUGUGUUUUCUUCUGGGAAAUGCGAUAAUGAAGCGGCCGUCCAGAAAAGUUGGGAAGUAUGAGGUUGGGCGGACUGUUGGCGAGGGAACGUUCGCCAAGGUUAAGUUUGCACGUAACACGGAAACGGGGGAGAGUGUGGCCAUGAAAGUUUUGGCCAAAAGCAGCAUUCUCAAGCACAAAAUGGUAGAACAGAUUAAGAGGGAGAUAUCGAUAAUGAAAAUUGUGAGGCAUCCACAUAUUGUCAGAUUGCUUGAGGUGUUGGCUAGCCAAACAAAGAUAUAUAUUAUUCUCGAGUUUGUCACUGGAGGUGAACUAUAUGAUACAAUAGUUCUUCAAAAGAAGCUUCCAGAAAUGGAGUCUAGACGAUACUUUCAACAACUGGUAGAUGCCGUUGCUCAUUGUCACAGCAAGGGUGUGUACCAUAGGGACCUUAAGCCUGAAAACCUCCUUCUUGAUGCUGAUGGAAAUCUGAAGGUUUCCGACUUUGGACUGAGUGCGCUGUCUCAACAAGGCAUUGAGCUACUUCAUACCACAUGUGGAACUCCUAAUUAUGUUGCACCCGAGGUGCUUGGAGGUCAGGGUUAUGAUGGUGCAGCUGCAGAUAUAUGGUCAUGUGGAGUUAUCCUCUUUGUACUAAUGGCUGGAUAUCUUCCAUUCUCAGAGACGGACCUUCCCACUUUAUACAAGAAGAUAAAUGCAGCAGAGUAUUCCUGCCCCUAUUGGUUUUCAUCUGGUGCGAAGUCCUUGAUACAGAAGAUCCUUGAUCCAAAUCCCACAAAUCGGAUUCGAAUUGAAGAAAUUAGAAAAGAUCCAUGGUUCAGAAGAAACUACAUCCCUGCUAAACUAGGAGAAGAUGAGGAAGUAACCUUGGACGACGUUCGUGCUGUUUUUGAUGACAUUGAGGAAGAAUAUGUAGCUGAUCAGUCAGAUAAAAGUGAUGACGGUCCUUUACUAAUGAAUGCAUUUGAGAUGAUAACAUUAUCUCAAGGAUUAAAUCUGUCACCGUUAUUUGACCGGCGACAGGACUAUAUAAAGCGGCAAACACGUUUCGUUUCUCAAAAACCUGCUAACAUUAUUAUGUCUACCAUGGAAGCCGUAGCAGAAGCAAUGGGUCUAAACGUCCACACACGUAAUUUCAAGACAAGGUUGGAAAGAAGGACAGGACAUAAGGUUGGACAGUUUGCAGCUGUACUGGAGAUUUAUGAAGUGGCCCCAUCACUUUUUAUGGUGGAUGUUCGCAAGGCUGCUGGAGAUACUCUAGAAUAUCACAAGUUCUACAAAAAAUUCUGUGGUAACCUAGAAAACAUAAUCUGGAAACCAUCAUAGAGUCUGGUGAACUGAAGCCUGUUUGGUUACUUUACUACUAACUAGUCUUAUGGAGCAAAUGAGCAAGCAGAGGCUUUGCUUUGUCCACGAUCAUCUGAACUUCAUAUAUGCUGCCAUGAUUUACAAAACUUGAAGGGGCCAAGCCACAAAUGAUAUGACGCUGGAAGUGUGUAAAAAAGAAGAAGAGAGAAGUAAUAAUUGGGGGAAAAAAGGAAUAAGACAUCCGCGGGAAAGCUCGGAUUGUACAGAAUGUUGUUGAAAAUAAAUAAGCUUUUUGUCGUGAGCUGUUAAACGUACGGCAAAUACGAUGUGAUUGUGUUAAUUGAAGUGUUCAAACAUUACAAAAUGUUGUAUGAAACCGAAAUCUUUGUUCGUUCUAUGAACAACGAAUAAUGGGGCAUGUCAGAAUUCAGACAACUUGGGGCAAAGACAUUGACUUUAUGAUAGUGAACAAUGUAAGAUGUCGUGUGCGUUGACGACACAGUUGUUAAAUUGGCACAAUCAUAUGUAAUUUGCUGUAUUGUGAUGGGAACAUUUCGAAUACAUAUUAUUUUGCCUUUUCUUAA